UCGACGCUACGCGAAGAACCUUACCUGGGCUUGAACUGCUGGUGGUAGAAGCCCGAAGGGUAACGACCCGGAGCAAUCCGGGAGCCAGUAGAGGUGCUGCAUGGCUGUCGUCAGCUCGUGUCGUGAGAUGUUGGGUUAAGUCCCGCAACGAGCGCAACCCUUACCCUUAGUUGCCAGCGGGUAAUGCCGGGCACUCUAAGGGGACCGCCCGGAUAACGGGGAGGAAGGCGGGAUGACGUCAAGUCAGCAUGGCCUUUAUGUCCAGGGCUACACACGUGCUACAAUGGGCGAUACAGAGGGAAGCAAGGCCGCAAGGUAGAGCUAAUCCCUAAAGUCGUCCUCAGUUCGGAUUGCAGGCUGCAACUCGCCUGCAUGAAGUCGGAAUCGCUAGUAAUCGCGGAUCAGCUACGCCGCGGUGAAUACGUUCUCGGCCUU
rnacentral:rRNA from 1 species